AGAAAACACACACUAGCAGAGCUUCAACAGAGUGCCCAACCUCUUCUAGUCUCUGCAUUGAAAGCCUCAGCUGAAGAAAAUGCUGCCAGUUUUCACUUUCCUGGACACGACAGAGGCCAUGCCGCUCCUUCUUCAUUGAUCCAACUCAUUGGAUAAGACAAUAUGCUCAUGAUUUGUCCAGCAUUCCGGAACUUGACAACCUCUUUUGUCCCCAAGGGCCUAUUGUUAAAACUGCUUUAAAUACCUGCAAAACAAAAAUCGGUAUUGAAUACUAUCAAGGAACUAGAAGCAGAAGGAAAAAAAAAAGCAGCAGCAAUUUUCAUAACUACACUUACUAAUGUUUGCAGUAACUUAAGUGAUAUUUCUCAGUUGUGUGAUCUAUGAUGCACAUGUUGGAUAACAUUGUAGAUAAGGAGAAAAUAUUUAGGUAUCUUCAAACCCUCCAGAUUACAGGUCCUAGUUACCUGCUUAUGGCAUCCCUGUAUGCUGCUAGCGCUCAAUUUAGUGAAAGUCCCAAGAAUGUAUUCAACCAAGCGAUCGAAUUAGAAAAUGAAGCAAAGUUCUUGAUUAAACGAGUCCCGGGAAUUUCAGUGCUCGAGAAUUAAACCUUGGAAAACAGUAGGUCUAAUAGUCCUUUCUUUCUACAGUUUCCACAUUUCUAUGAUACUGAGUUCCACUCACAGCAAGCAAAUCUUGAAUCACCAAUUCACUACAUUAAAAAAUGCAGACAAAACAAAAACACAGUGCAUGGUUCUCUAAACAAUGUAAUACCUUUGUAACAAAUAAUAUCAA
rnacentral:lncRNA from 1 species